rfam:Gossypium raimondii Chr06_contig_395, whole genome shotgun sequence.
GGGUGCGAUCAUACCAGCACUAAUGCACUGGAUCCCAUCAGAACUCCGCAGUUAAGCGUGCUUAGGCGAGAGUAGUACUACGAUGGGUGACCCCCUGGGAAGUCCUCGUGUUGCACCGC